GUGCAAGGUCAGAGACAUGAACAUGUUAAAGAAGUUGUAUGUGUGCAAUGGCUGCAAACAGCAGCUUCCUUGGUAGUGUAUGCAGCCUGUUUCUUGUAUGGGUUGCUCUAAGAAACCAGGUCUUUCAGAU
rnacentral:snoRNA from 1 species